rnacentral:tRNA from 1 species
GGUGUAGUGUAAAGAUAAACGUAUUUGGUUUGGAUCCAUAAGAUAUAGGUUAAAUUCCUUUUGCCU